AUUGAACGCUGGCGGCAGGCCUAACACACGCAAGUCGAACGGUAACAGGAAGAAGCUUGCUUCUUUGCUGACGAGUGGCGGACGGGUGAGUAAUGUCUGGGAAACUGCCUGAUGGAGGGGGAUAACUACUGGAAACGGUAGCUAAUACCGCAUAACGUCGCAAGACCAAAGAGGGGGACCUUCUGGCCUCUUGCCAUCGGAUGUGCCCAGAUGGGAUUAGCUAGUAGGUGGGGUAACGGCUCACCUAGGCGACGAUCCCUAGCUGGUCUGAGAGGAUGACCAGCCACACUGGAACUGAGACACGGUCCAGACUCCUACGGGAGGCAGCAGUGGGGAAUAUUGGACAAUGGGCGCAAGCCUGAUGCAGCCAUGCCGCGUGUAUGAAGAAGGCCUUCGGGUUGUAAAGUACUUUCAGCGGGGAGGAAGGGAGUAAAGUUAAUACCUUUGCUCAUUGACGUUACCCGAAGAAGAAGCACCGGCUAACUCCGUG
rnacentral:rRNA from 1 species